rnacentral:rRNA from 1 species
CGAGACGCAACCCUCGCUGUGUGUUAUAUGUGUCACACGGGACUGCCGGUCUUAAGCCGGAGGAAGGUGGGGAUGAUGUCAAGUCAGCAUGGCCUUUAUAUCCUGGGCUACACACACGCUACAAUGGCCAACACAAUAGGUUGCUAAGCCGCGAGGUGGCGCCAAUCCAUAAAGUUGGUCUCAGUUCAGAUUGUAGGCUGCAACCCGCCUGCAUGAAGAUGGAGUUGCUAGUAACCGCAGGUCAGCUAUACUGCGGUGAAUACGUUCCCGGGGCUU